UGGGCUAUAGCCAAGUGGUAAGGCAACGGACUUUGACUCCGUCAUUCGUUGGUUCGAAUCCAGCUAGCCCAGUCA
rnacentral:tRNA from 1 species